rnacentral:rRNA from 1 species
AUGAGUUAAGUAUAAACCCCUUUACAAGUAUCAAUUGGAGGGCAAGUCUGGUGCCAGCAGCCGCGGUAAUUCCAGCUCCAAUAGCGUAUAUUAAAGUUGUUGCAGUUAAAAAGCUCGUAGUUGGAUUUCUGUUAAUAAUUUAUAUAUAAUAUUUUAACGAUAUUUAUAUAAUAUUAACAUAAUUCACAUUACUAUUAUUAUUAGUAUGUGAAAUUUUACUUUGAGAAAAUUAGAGUGCUUAAAGCAGGCAUUUGCCUUGAAUACUCCAGCAUGGAAUAAUACAAAAGAUUUUUAUCUUUUUUAUUGGUUCUAAGAUAAAAAUAAUGAUUAAUAGGGACAGUUGGGGGCAUUUGUAUUUAACAGUCAGAGGUGAAAUUCUUAGAUUUGUUAAAGACAAACUAAUGCGAAAGCAUUUGCCAAGGAUGUUUUCAUUAAUCAAGAACGAAAGUUAGGGGAUCGAAGACGAUCAGAUACCGUCGUAGU